CCCCAUCCAUUUUCAAAUCUUUAAUUCCUAUCUGUUGCAUUUAUUUAUUCUUCUCCUGUUUCCAAGCCUGCCUUUCUCGAUAUUUUCUUUCAACACCGCCCCUCUCCCCAAUCCUAUGGCUCCCAAUAGCCUUUCCAAACCUCCCCCUCCCCAUAUUCAAUGAAUGUAUUAACAUUCUCUUCCCAAUUCAAUUUCAAUUUCAUCCCGUUUCUUCCCAAAAAUCUUCAGCAUUUCUUCUUCAUACCGUUUCUUUCCUAACCUUCUCCUACGCCGCAGCGUUCAUUUCUUCUCAGACGCGUUUUAUCUUCCCUAAUCUCCAUCCUGGCUGCACCGCAAUCUACUCGAAGCCAUUUCUUCGUUUCUUCCGCCGUUUAUUUCCAAGAACGCUUCAGGUUUUGUUAAUCGAUGUGGGUUCUCCGUCGCUGGCGGAGCCCCCUACGAGCUCUGAUCCCGCAGAUCUCUAAUGCAAAGAUUAUGAUUAUUGAUCCAAAGCCCGGAGCUGUGGAAACUAAGAUUAUAAUUUCUGGAACCCCAUAGCAAAUCAUGCUGCACAAAGUCUUAUUCAUGCGUUUAACAUGAGUGAGAGGGAUUCAGGUUGAACUCUUAAUUUUGGAAAUCGAUAGUAUUUAUUAAGAGUAUGAACACCAAAGAGAAUGGAGCAGCCGCAAGAUAAAACUAUCAAGUUGCAGGGAACUUAACAUGGUAAGUUCUCAUACUCUACAUGGUUUAAUUUUUUUCAUAACCAUUAUCAAGGCACCAUUUUGAUGUGAAGUGAAAUUUUGAAUAUAACUCUUGGCUUUCAGACUGUGAAGAGAACAAUUAAGUUUCAGUGUUAUCACCUAAGAUAAAUUAAAAGAUUGUUUUUCUUCAUUCCCUGUGGUGUUUCUGAUUUGUUCUUUUGUGUUGUAAUGUCUCUUAUUGUAUUUGUGUUACUAACUACACUGCUUUUAUCAUUUGUUAUUUCUCCUACUAUUGUUUAUUUUUUCAAUAUCUUAAUGAAACAGCAAGGAUUAUAUUUAAAUACUAAUUUAGUGAGACAGGUUUGAUAGUAUAUCUCUAAAGUCAGACCCUGAGGCACAAAUCAAGGCAGUAGUUGAGCCCAAACUGGGUGCUAAACAAUGCAUUACUGCUAGGUUUUUUUACGAUGAUAAUAGGUUAGCAUGAUACUUUAGACUUUAGCCAUCACAACGAUUUUGUGAGUCUAAAUCAAAAUGAAGCUGCACCUGUAUAUUUAAACAAUUUUACAUCAUUUACCAAUUAAUUGGUUUGCAAAAAUUUUAAGGUGGCUUUUUGACUAUAAUACUUCUGUGGAUCAUAUUACCUUUAUAUUGGACAGCAGCUCUUGCAUUUUUUGUGUGCUACUAGAUGAUUGGAACAAGUGAAUUGUAUUGAGAAAAAAAUCCAGGUUUAUAAUUGAAUCUCAUUUAUUAAGUGAUCUUGAAAAUGAAUGCUUCUCAAACUAGGUCACUCUCGAUUGUUGUGCUUGGUGCUGGGGAUCUAUCUAAUAAGAAGAUAACCUUUAUGAAUUAGUAAUCCUGUGUUUGUGUUACUUAAAGAUAACCUUUGUGAAUCAUGUUAUUAGUGCCAGAACUUGAACAGUCAUGAGUUAUUUGCUUUUUCUAUCAAAGGCUUUUUUGUAAAUUUUCCUUUGUUUUCUUAAAAUGGUUUCUUAUUGGCUCUUCAUCUGGUGGAAACUUAACCAGAAUUUCCUGGUCUGUCCCGAUGUCCAAUACUAGAAUGAUUGACUGUGCUGAUUUGGUGGGCAUUUCUUCGUAGUCUUCUGGAGGGUUAAUGGGGAACUUUCGGUGGGGGCUGAUAAAUAUAUAUUGAAACAGCAAGGGUUGCAUUAAGUAGUAGAUACCAUCAAACAAAUUUAAUAUUUUUCGUUUGAAUUCUAGGAUUGAUUUUUCUUUCCAUUUGAAUUCAAAUUCUUGCACCAUCUCUGGCGAGGUUGAGGGUGGACAAAGAAGCAAGGUUGAUGACUCAUUUGGAUAGGUUAAUGUGAUCAUAUUUUUAAUUGUACUCAGUACUCACGAUAAAUCAAGGUUUAAACACUUUUCAACUGCCCCUAAGGAUUUAGAGUGUCUAUUUUAAUUUGUCAUUUUUUUGGCUUAUGGAAAGCUGAAGGGUGAAUCUUCAUCUCCGAUUAUAGAGGAGUUUUCCCUGAGGAAUAGCUUGGAUCAACUAGACAUCAUUUUGCUAAUUUAUUAUCAAUUUUGUAUAUCAUUCAUUGCAACACUGUGUAGAACCUCAAAUCCUUUUUAUAAUGGAGUUGUUCUUAUUUGAUGGUUUAUUCAAUUGAAUACCAUUGCAUGAUUUAAUCUA